GACGUAGGGCGCGAGCGUUGUCCGGAUUUAUUGGGCGUAAAGAGCUCGUAGGCGGCUUGUCGCGUCGUCCGUGAAAACCUGCGGCUCAACUGCAGGCUGGCGGUCGAUACGGGCAGGCUGGAGUUCGGUAGGGGAGACUGGAAUUCCUGGUGUAGCGGUGAAAUGCGUAGAUAUCUGGAGGAACACCGGUGGCGAAGGCGGCAUCCUGGACCGGCACUGACGCUGAAAAGCGAAAGCUAGGGGAGCAAACGGG
rnacentral:rRNA from 1 species